UUUGCACACUGCUAGAACCCAGUAGAUACACAAUGAAAGCUGGGCGUACAAUUUGUGCUAAAUUAAUUCCGAGAUUUCGCUAACACCAUCAGAUGUUUGUGCAUCAAUGAAUGGGGUUUGAUAGUAGAACUUGGAACAUUU
rnacentral:snoRNA from 1 species